ensembl:lncRNA
UUAACCCUCUGAUGGUCAUCGUCAAAAUAGGGACCCUUUUGGGUCCCCUUGGAUUUUUGAUUCUCAAUAUAUCAGUCAUUUUAAAGACUAGUUGCAUGAAACUUGGCUAGGAGUUGCAUUUUAGCAUUAUUUUUAAAAUUCAUUGAUCCCCUCUAUGGUGUUGUGUAUAGUAAAGGAGAUUCACAUAAGUGUUACCGUCUGUGGUCCUCGUACCAUUUUGGGUCCCAUUGACUCCCAUUAUAAUCACAUAUUUUCGAUAUACUGUAAUCCUGACAUGUGAUAAUUUUUUUCUCGUGAAUACCUAAUGGAUCUAAGCCUCAGGCUUCAAAAUAAAGGAAAAAUAUGUUUCGGAUCCAAUGAGCACAAUAUUAGGUACAGCACCACCAUAGACAUUUUCAGUGGUUUUGAAUGCAGGACAUGGUUAUCUUAUUAUGCAAAAUACAUGACAAUAAAACAGCUGACCACCAUAAAAUAGUCUCGAUGUAGUGGAACUGAUAUAAGAGAGUGGUGUGAAUGUGAUUGAGAAUAUAUUUAUAAUAUAUAUUACGGGUUUCCCCCCCCACCCCCCACCCCCAAAAUAAAUAAAUAAAAAAUAAACAGGGGUCUUUAUGACAAUAAAGCUAUAAAAACAUAAAAAAUAUUUACAAAUUUAUGAAAAACUUUAUAUCUGUGGAUAGGUCUGAAGUUGUUUAAAAGAUCUGAUGUGAAAAAAAAUGAAAAAUUAAUUCAUAUAUGAUAUUGCUAUAUCACCUUUUGGAUGGGGACCCCUUUGGGUCCCAAGGGAUACCAAUGGAUGUAUACUGUAAAAACUCUUAUUGCUCCAAAAAUAAUAAUGCAGCCAAAUCAAUUCUGUUAUGAAUUCUUUACCUAUCCAAGGCUCUAAUAACCUCAUGCCAAGUAGUUCCAUUUGCAACUCAUUUUUUAAAAAUAUUGCAUAUUAUGGUUUUUUACCCCCAAAAAAACAGGGGUUUUUAUGACAAUAAAGCCAUAAAAACCUAAAAAAUAUGAAAAAAAUUAUGAAAAACUUUAUAUCAGUGGAUAGGUCUGAAGUUGUUUAAAAGAUCUGAUGUGAAAAAAAAUGAAAAAAAAAUUCAUAAAAUUCAUUGCUAUAUCACCUUUUGGAUGGGGACCAUUUUGGGUCCCGAGGACCAUAAAAGGGUGUAAAUUUGAAAAACUCUUAUUGCUCCAAAAAUAAUAAUGUAUCCAAAUCAAUUCUGUUAUGAAUUUUUUACCUAUCCAAGGCUCUAAUAACCUCAUGCCAAGUAGUUCCAUUUGCAACUCAUUUUUUAAAAAUAUUGCAUAUUAUGGUUUUUUACCCCCCAAAAAACAGGGGUUUUUAUGACAAUAAAGCCAUAAAAACAUAAAAAAUGAAAAAAAAAUUAUGAAAAACUUUAUAUCAGUGGAUAGGUCUGAAGUUGUUUAAAAGAUCUGAUGUGAAAAAAAAUGAAAAAAAAUUCAUAAAAUCCAUUGCUAUAUCACCUUUUGGAUGGGGACCAUUUUGGGUCCCGGCGACCGUGAAAGGGUGUAAAUUUUGA